UACGUAGGGGGCAAGCGUUGUCCGGAUUUAUUGGGCGUAAAGAGCGUGUAGGCGGCCACACAGGUCAGCUGUGAAAACUCGAGGCUCAACCUCGAGACGUCGGUUGAAACCGUAUGGCUAGAGUCCGGAAGAGGAGAGUGGAAUUCCCGGUGUAGCGGCGAAAUGCGCAGAUAUCGGGAAGAACACCCGUGGCGAAGGCGGCUCUCUGGGACGGUACUGACGCUGAGACGCGAAAGCGUGGGGAGCGAACAGG
rnacentral:rRNA from 1 species